UACGUAGGGUGCAAGCGUUGUCCGGAAUUAUUGGGCGUAAAGAGCUCGUAGGCGGUCUGUCGCGUCUGCUGUGAAAACCUAGGGCUUAACUCUGGGCGUGCAGUGGGUACGGGCAGGCUAGGGUGCGGUAGGGGAGACUGAAUUCCUGGUGUAGCGGUGAAAUGCGCAGAUAUCAGGAGGAACACCGGUGGCGAAGGCGGGUCUCUGGGCCGAUACUGACGCUGAGGAGCGAAAGCGUGGGGAGCGAACAGG
rnacentral:rRNA from 1 species